AAGCAAUGAGGUUUUAUAUGCGCUUGAUGUGAUGGACUGGGUUCAAUCACGACCGUCUGAUUUCAUUAGAAGACAAUUCAGCGCAUCUGAGCUU